GCUCCCGUAGUUUAAGGGCAGAACGCUGGGCCUUCAACCCAGAGGCGCUCGGUUCGAAUCCGACCGGGAGCA
rnacentral:tRNA from 1 species